AGCAGGCGCUUGAUGGCUGCCCUUAUGUUUAACUUUGCACCGCAAAGCUAUGGGGGAGGAAAGUCCGGGCUCCACAGGAUAAGCGUAGCGGGUAACGCCCGUCCAUGAAUUUGGAAUAAUUCAUGAGGAUUGUCUCGCGCGAUAAUCUUAUCGCUUGAGGCCAUUUUCUUGUAGUAAAACGGGAAAAUGAGAGCCACAGAGACGAGUAUCGAUAAAUGAUUCUGCCAUGGGAGUAUAUGGGCCUAGCGGUUCGAUCUCUCUUAUAUUACAGAUGCAUUUAAUCGUGAUGUGAAACGCGGCAAUCUCUACGUGGUGCAAGACCAAAUAGGCUCCGCCAUAGGAAUGGUCCGUUCCUCAGUAAGCGGAGCGGGUUAGGUCGCUACUUUCCUUUAAGUAAGGAAGACGACCCUGUCAGUAAUGGCAGGGCUAGAUAGAUGGCCAUCUGGUGAGUGAGUGAAGAUAGCUAGGCUUUUAGCUUAGAAAUUAUUCGCAUAUAUAAUUUACAUCGCACUCUGUGCUCUGUAAAUUAUAUACUCAUUAACAGAACUCGGCUUAUAAGCGUCUGCUUCUA
rnacentral:RNase_P_RNA from 1 species